rfam:Aedes albopictus isolate Foshan contig138385, whole genome shotgun sequence.
CAAACGGUUCUUCUCAGAACCAACGAAAAUGCUUCCUAGAGACUUA